UUGAACGCUGGCGGAAUGCUUUACACAUGCAAGUCGAGCGGCAGCGCGGGGGCAACCCUGGCGGCGAGCGGCGAACGGGUGAGUAACAUAUCGGAACGUACCCUAUCGUGGGGGAUAACACAUCGAAAGAUGUGCUAAUACCGCAUACGACCUGAGGGUGAAAGCGGGGGAUCUUCGGACCUCGCGCGAUUGGAGCGGCCGAUGUCGGAUUAGCUAGUAGGUGAGGUAAAGGCUCACCUAGGCGACGAUCCGUAGCGGGUCUGAGAGGAUGAUCCGCCACACUGGGACUGAGACACGGCCCAGACGCCUACGGGAGGCAGCAGUGGGGAAUUUUGGACAAUGGGCGCAAGCCUGAUCCAGCCAUGCCGCGUGAGUGAAGAAGGCCUUCGGGUUGUAAAGCUCUUGCGGCCGGGAAGAAAUCGUGGUCUCUAACAUAGGCCAUGGAUGACGGUACCGGACUAAGAAGCACCGGCUAACUACGU
rnacentral:rRNA from 1 species